rnacentral:lncRNA from 10 species
GGAGGAUCUAGCUGCAGUAUUGCCAGAACAAGAAAUUCACCUCUAUCUGUUCCUGUGUCUAACUAGGAUAUCAUGUGAACUGAAUGAGCCUUACGUUUUCUUUAUUGACAGCUUAGUGAGUGACUUUUGAACCAGGGUUGCAUGUCUUAAGGAACAACCCCAUCUUGAGGACUCAGUAACUUAAAAAUGGAUCUGCUGGUGCUCUCUCGACCAUGAAUUCUGAGGUGGCAGAACAGAGGCCAAGGUUUUGUUAGGUCAUAAUGCUAUCAUGUUUGAACUCCAUUCAUGUGUCGUGCUAGGAAAGGAGUGGUAUUAUCCCAGUCUUCCAGCUUAAACAUUUCACAACACUAAAUCCAUACUCUUUCUCCUUGUGUCUUACAAUUCUCCAAGCUAGAUCCCUGAGCAUAUUCCAUAAUCAGUGGGAAAGGGAGCUGAGCACAUCUGCACAGCCUCCUGUUUCGAUUGGGAGCUCCUUGGAGGCAGAGAAUUUCCUGUGUAUUCUGGAUCUCUCCAGUUUGUGCUCCAGAUGCAGUCUCCACUCUGCUUCUCAUCAGAAGGCCAGCCGUGUGGUCACAUCAAUAAACUUCCCUACCUUCUGCUUUCUAGUUUCAUGCACGAGGGGGAACCUGGCCCAAGAGCAGAGGACAGGAGGAAGAGAAUUCAGGGUGUUUCUCACCCAGACUCCCUCACUGCUAGGUCACCUCAGGCUGACUGGUGACUUUAUCCCUUCACAAGGGCAUCUGGACCAAAGGUUCCCAUCACAAUGACUUCUGCAGGACUCUUGCUUCCCAGGUUAUGGGUGAUAACAGUUCCUCUGCUGUGACUUCCAUGGGGUUACGGCCUCACUGGUGUAAACAGUCCCUUUGUAGAUAAUCCCCCUCCAAUGAUCCUAAUUUGAAUGUGCCAUCUCUUUCCUCUUGUGGGUCACUAUGUCUCCUUCCAUUCACCCAAGAAGUAUUUUAUGCACGUGUACUAUGUGCCAGAUACUAUUCUAGGUGCUGAGGACACGAAAGUAAAAUAAAAAGGACAAGAUCCCUGCACUCUUGGAAUUCAUCUUCAGACUUAACACUGUGUGUGGUACAGAGCAGAUGCCCUUCUAAAGGGAUAAAUAUAAUUUCCUCUUCUCAUUAAAACUUUUCCUCAACCCUGAAUCAGAAGUGCUUACUAUGGGGUUCAGCAAGAGCCUGCUGAUUACAUAUAGCGGACAUGCCAACGAGAACAAGGGAUGGGGGGAAGUAAGCCACACAAGUGACUCUGAGCCUUUGCAGAAGGGUGCAGUUGAAACAAGCAGCAUAUAGAUGUGGAUCCAAAUCUACUCAUUUUCAUUUAACAAACUCAAG